CCAAAGAAUGAGAGAACUAAAGUUGAACGAAAGAAGAAGUAGAGUAUACCGUUCAUAUUUGGUAGUUGGAUUUGAAAACAAUUUAAUCAUUAGGUCAUAUUUGGUAGUUGGAUUUGAAAACAAUUAUAUGUUACUGAGUGAACAAUUUGUCAUGAAUAUAUUAUACACGAGUAUUCGAGCUAUCUAAUAGCAUAUUUGCC
rnacentral:lncRNA from 1 species